rnacentral:rRNA from 1 species
UACGAAGGGGGCUAGCGUUAUUCGGAAUCACUGGACGUAAAGCGCACGUAGGCGGCUUUUUAAGUCAGGGGUGAAAUCCUGGAGCUCAACUCCAGAACUGCCUUUGAUACUGGGAAGCUCGAGUCCGGGAGAGGUGAGUGGAACUCCGAGUGUAGAGGUGAAAUUCGUAGAUAUUCGGAAGAACACCAGUGGCGAAGGCGGCUCACUGGCCCGGUACUGACGCUGAGGUGCGAAAGCGUGGGGAGCAAACAGG